rnacentral:rRNA from 1 species
UUUCCCAGUCACGAUAUGCGGUGGAAAGAUUGAAAGUAGCAAAAUAAGCUGGUAUCGUUUUGACGUAGUCUAUAGACAUUUCAUCAAUAUCCGUACCACCCAAUCCUGGUAAAACUUCUAUCUUAUUUCUAGCAACUCUUCCAAACGGUUCAAACAAAGCGAACUGUGAUGCCGCGCAAACUAUUACAAAACUAUCGGGAGGUAAAAUAACCGCAGGUAAUGAAACCGGGGUGCCUCCAUCACUUAUUGUAAAAUCACCCAGGUUGAUGGGUAUAUUGCUGUUGUUGUACAACUCCACAAACUCUUGUUCAGGCAAACCAAUAACCGGUGUUGGAUCAGGAAAAAAUUCGCUGAUGAGUAAACCAUAAACUUCCGGUUGGUAAUUAAAAAAGUGAGGUGGUGUAAAUUUCCAUCUCAUUGCCCGAAGUGUCUAAAAUUUGUUCUACGGAAAAGGAGUAGUUUGUUUUGGGUGUGAAGGGUUAAAUGUAAAAAUUCUAUUACUCUUAAUUCCAAGCUGACUUAUGUCACCGCCAGCAAAAGCUGAAAUUAAGAAUUUGCUAUUGUUAUUCAUGAUAAGAUUUACAGAAUCAAUAUACACUUGUCUAUAUUUCUUAUAUUCUUCGAGAUCAUAUUUAAUGUAUUGCUGAUCUAGAAGAAAUUGUCUGAAGCAAUAGUCAUCUGGUUUUUCUAUCAAAUCAUCUCUAAAUUUAACAAGUUGCCGUAACAGGUAAUGGAGGUCCGAACUGGUAAGCGUUGAAAAGCUUUCGGAUGAGCUGUGGGUAGGGGUGAAAGGCUAAUCAAACUGGGAGAUAGCUCGUACUCCCCGAAAUGUUUUUUGGAACAGCCUCGAGUAAGAGUGUCGUAGAGGUAGAGCUACCAAUUGGGUGAGGGGGAGUCAAAUCCUACCGAGCUCAGAUGAACUCCGAAUACUAUAGACAUGUUUCUCGGGAGUGAGCCCUUGGGUGCUAAGGUCCGAGGGCGAGAGGGAAAGAACCCAGACCAUCAGCUAAGGUCUCCAAAUUUGAGUUAAGUUGAACAAACGAGGUUCAAUCGCAUAGACAGCUAGGAUGUUUGCUUGGAAGCAGCCAUUCAUUUAAAGAGUGCGUAACAGCUCACUAGUCGAGCGAUCGGGCGCGGAUGAUAAACGGGCAUCAAACUCAGUACCGAAGCUAUGGAUUUACAUCAAGAGAUGUAAGUGGUAGGGGAGCAUUCUAAUAGCGCAGAAGGUGAACUGUGAGGUUUGCUGGAGCGAUUAGAAAAGCCAAUGUAGGCAUAAGUAACGAUAAGGCGGGUGAGAAACCCGCCCACCGAUAGACUAAGGUUUCCUGAUCAACGUUAAUCGGAUCAGGGUUAGUCGGGGCCUAAGGAUAAGCGGAAUAGCGAAUCCGAUGGAUAUCAGGUUAAUAUUCCUGAACCUUUUGUAGAGCGAAGUGGUGACGCAGGAGUGAAAGACCCGCGAACUGACGGAAUAGUUCGUUAAAGCUUGUAGAUAUAUUUGUUGUAGGCAAAUCCGCAACGAAUGUCGAAGGUGAUAGUACUCAGCGUCUUCGGACAAUGGGAUAGUGGUCCUAAUCCAACUGCCAAGAAAACCCGCUAGCAUUAAUCUACACAAGCCCGUACCUCAAACCGACACAGGUAGUCUAGGAGAGAAUCCUGAGGUGCUCGAGUGAUUCACGGUUAAGGAACUCGGCAAAUUAACCCUGUAACUUCGGAAAAAAGGGUGCCCCAGCAAUGGGGCCGCAGAGAAAUGGCCCAGGCGACUGUUUAACAAAAACACAUGGCUAUGCAAAAUCGAAAGAUAACGUAUAUGGCCUGACACCUGCCCGGUGCUGGAAGGUUAAGAGGGGAUGUUAGCGCAAGCGAAGCAUUGAAUCGAAGCCCCAGUAAACGGCGGCCGUAACUAUAACGGUCCUAAGGUAGCGAAAUUCCUUGUCGGGUAAGUUCCGACCUGCACGAAUGGUGUAACGAUCUGAGCACUGUCUCAACCGUGAGCUCGGUGAAAUUGUGGUAUCGGUGAAGACGCCGGUUAAUCGCAUCGGGACGGAAAGACCCCGUGCACCUUUACUAUAGCUUUGCAUUGACUUUGGGUAAAUAAUGUGUAGGAUAGGCGGGAGACUUUGAAGCGGUGUCGCUAGGCAUCGUGGAGUCAACCUUGAAAUACCGCCCUUUGUUUGCUUGGAGUCUAACCUUGGCCCGUGAUCCGGGUUGGGGACAGUGUAUGCUGGGCAGUAUCGUGACUGGGAAACAGAUCGGAAGAGCACACGUCUGAACUCCAGUCACUAAUGCGCAUCUCGUAUGCCGUC